rnacentral:rRNA from 1 species
UACGGGGGGAGCAAGCGUUGUUCGGAUUUACUGGGCGUAAAGGGCGCGUAGGCGGCCACUGCAAGUCAGUUGUGAAAUCUCCGGGCUUAACCCGGAAAGGUCAACUGAUACUGCAGAGCUAGAGUGCAGAAGGGGCAACUGGAAUUCUCGGUGUAGCGGUGAAAUGCGUAGAUAUCGAGAGGAACACCUGCGGCGAAGGCGGGUUGCUGGGCUGACACUGACGCUGAGGCGCGAAAGCCAGGGGAGCGAACGGG